GGAAUAACUCAGGGAAACUUGAGCUAAUUCCGCAUAAAGUCGCGGACCGUCGGGUCCGUGAUCAAAGCCGGGGACCCUUCGGGGCCUGGCGCCUGGAGAGGAGCCCGCGGCCAAUUAGCUUGUUGGUGAGGUAAUGGCUCACCAAGGCUCCGAUUGGUAGCCGGCCUGAGAGGGCGGACGGCCACACUGGAGCUGAGACACGGUCCAGACUCCUACGGGAGGCAGCAGUGAGGAAUUUUCGUCAAUGGGGGAAACCCUGAACGAGCAACGCCGCGUGGAGGACGAAGACCCUCGGGUUGUAAACUCCUGUCGGACGGGACGAAAGCUGUCGAGGUCAAUACCCUUGGCAGUUGACGGUACCGUACGAGGAAGCCCCGGCUAACUUCGUGCCAGCAGCCGCGGUAAUACGAGGGGGGCAAGCGUUGUUCGGAAUUACUGGGCGUAAAGGGCGCG
rnacentral:rRNA from 1 species